rnacentral:rRNA from 1 species
UACGUAGGUGCAAGCGUUGUCCGGAAUUAUUGGGCGUAAAGAGCUCGUAGGCGGUCUGUUGCGUCGGCUGUGAAAACCCGGGGCUCAACCCCGGGCCUGCAGCCGAUACGGGCAGACUAGAGUUCGGCAGGGGAGACUGGAAUUCCUGGUGUAGCGGUGAAAUGCGCAGAUAUCAGGAGGAACACCGAUGGCGAAGGCAGGUCUCUGGGCCACUACUGACGCUGAGAAGCGAAAGCAUGGGGAGCGAACAGG